AACGAACGCUGGCGGCAGGCUUAACACAUGCAAGUCGAACGCCUGUAGCAAUACAGGAGUGGCAGACGGGUGAGUAACACGUGGGAACGUGCCCUUCGGUUCGGAAUAACUCAGGGAAACUUGGGCUAAUACCGGAUACGUCCGCGAGGAGAAAGAUUCAUCGCCGAAGGAUCGGCCCGCGUCCGAUUAGCUAGUUGGUGGGGUAAUGGCUCACCAAGGCGACGAUCGGUAGCUGGUCUGAGAGGAUGAUCAGCCACACUGGGACUGAGACACGGCCCAGACUCCUACGGGAGGCAGCAGUGGGGAAUAUUGGACAAUGGGCGCAAGCCUGAUCCAGCCAUGCCGCGUGGGUGAUGAAGGCCCUAGGGUUGUAAAGCCCUUUCGGCGGGGAAGAUAAUGACGGUACCCGCAGAAGAAGCCCCGGCUAACUUCGUGCCAGCAGCCGCAGUAAUAC
rnacentral:rRNA from 1 species